UAGGCCAAUGCUCGCUGGCUUGGGCAGUUAGUUGUUAACUAGUUUUUUACGGGAUCGAGGCCCGCUGGUCUA
rnacentral:tRNA from 1 species